rnacentral:rRNA from 1 species
UACGUAGGUGGCAAGCGUUGUCCGGAUUUAUUGGGUUUAAAGGGUGCGUAGGCGGUCUAUUAAGUCAGUGCUGAAAUAUCCCGGCUUAACCGGGAGGGUGGCAUUGAUACUGAUGGACUUGAGUAAAGUUGAGGUUGGCGGAAUUGACGGUGUAGCGGUGAAAUGCUUAGAUAUCGUCAAGAACACCUAUUGCGAAGGCAGCUAACUAGCUAAACUGACGCUGAGGCACGAAAAGUGUGGGGAUCAAACAGG